CUGGAGUCAGAGCCUGAGAGAUAAUGCAAGACAGAAACAUAACACACUGUACAACUGUCUACGAGGCACAUCUGGAUACAGCAGAAGACUGUAAAAAUCUGCUCCUGCAAAGCUCAAGUGGAUUUCACAGCCAAAACGGGGUCAUUCAGAAACUGCUGCCAGGUCAAGUUUUCACUUUGAACAUUUUCACAGUUAAAGGAGGAUCCAGGACAUCUGUGCAGCACAAAGCACAUGCAGGUCAGCAGCCUCGCUGAAGAUCACAGAGUGAGUCAGUGGCUCUGGAGAGAUCAGAGCCAGGAGCCCACUGUGUGCCAGCUCUUUGUGCUUCCCUCUGGCUUGGAAAUCCUUUCAACCCCAGGUGCUAAAACAAGGUGAAGCAGGACAAAUUCCAGACUGCGGCUUUGGCGGAGGCUUCUGAAGGACUCGGUGGAAAUGCCACCGCAACGCUGUGACACCAGGCAGUGCUCAGCCACGUUUGUGCUCAGGGAGCUGACCUCACAGUGCUUAUGGAAACUGGUUGCAGUAGAGAGGAAAAAGAUGAAGGUUGGUAACUCAGCAGCCACAUGUAUUACACUCGGUUAGAACUGUUUCUAGGAAGCUCCAGGAACAGAAGUCUGGAGUCCAAACUUUGCCUACGGCCACUCUCCAGCUCCCCUUUCGGCUACAAGAGCAGCCCUUCUGGCUCAUCUAUGGGCUGGAACAGAUGUAGGCAGGAACAAGCUGAAGCCAUCCCGUGCAGGAUGCAUUCAUACCCGGGUGAUCACAGCCAUCCACUCCUGCCCAGUCCUGGAAGCGAAAGUGCUCCCAAGCCUGCUGGAAAAGCAAUGGAGUCCAAGGCACAGAAGGAUUCUGAGGAACCUGUUUCCAAGGAAGGCAUUAGCCCUGCAGGCACUGCAACAGUCACCAGUCAAGUGACCCUGGAAAGGACAUCAUUUCUCAGCAUCUACCAAACCUCUCAAAACUGGAGACAUCUCAGGUCCCCCACACCUAUGUCUAGCUGUAACACACUGGAACAGGUUGCCCAGAGAGGUUGUGGAUGGCCCAUCCCUGGAGGCAUUCAAUGCCAAGCUGGAUGUGGCUUUGGGCAGCCUGGUCUGGUGGCAACCCCAUGGCAGGGGGGUUGAAAUUAGAUGAUCUUUGAGGUCCUUUCCAACGCAGGCCAUUCUACAAUUCUAUGAUCUCCCUUCAAACAUGAAAAAGCUCAUUGAGCACCUUUAACCACACAGCCAACUUUUAGGUGCACAUGGAGGGAUGGGAUGGUGUCUCCAAGCAGAGCUUGUCAGGGUAUAUGAGGUACUACACUGAUUUGGAAGAGGGUGAGCAGAGCCAAGGAUGAAAUGGUGGAAGGAUUCAUCCUACAGGACUGUCAGUGAGGCCCCUCCAACAUCUAGCACCACUGCACUUGAAAUAUGUUCAGAUUUAGGAAGGUUCGAGCAGACUGCUACAGUAAAAGGCUGGAAAAGUUUGCCUGCUCUUUGCAAACCUGAAGCUUUAAGAGGUGGACAAAGUCAGCGUAAAGGAAGAGAUAGAAAGUCAGACAACAUCUGCUAUUCACAGACAUGGGGACCUCAGAAAAAAGCAUCGAGGAUUUGGCAGCAAGUAGUGGAUACAGGCAGAGCUAGAGCAGAGAGAAUAGCUGCAGGAGUCAGUCACCUGGGAAAGCUGCUGCAGUAAACCUUGUAUUGGAUCAGGCAGUCCUGAGGGAUUUCUGCAGGAGGAUUGAGGCGGCUGCUGAAAACACUGGGAAAAGAGUGCAAAUGGGCCAUAAAAAUGAAGGCAAGUGGGAAGCAUGGCUUUUUUUCCCCUCCCUUCGGCUGAAAUUUGUGCACAGGCUUUUUUUUCCACAGAUGAAGUCCUUGUCCUUCUGAGGAAGAAUACAUCACACUGGUAUAUGAAUGACUGCAGAGUCAGUGCCACUGCCAGGAUGCUCAUUUUCUGUGCAGCUUCCUAACGUGACAUUUCAGCACCAUGAAAGGGCUCUCCUGCUGCAAGCAACAAAAAUCCCUGCUCCUCCUCUCAGCUCUUGCAAGUUGCCUGCUCUUCAUGACGCUAUGCUCUCUAAGACUAUCCUGUCAAGAUAGUGCACAUUUCUCUUGAGCCCACAACCAGCAUGUGCCUGUUUUGCACAUGCUGGUUCAUCCCCAGGCUCUCGUUUGAAAUGCAAAAGUUAGCUGUCCUAAAGGAAGCGCAAGGUCUGAGGGCAUCGUUUACACCAGACUUUCUCCAGACAGCAGGAUGGUGACCAAAGGGCCGUGCAUCCCAGCGGAUCAUGAGACCCACUGCUCUGGAGAUGAUCUCCUGGAAUUUCCUUUUGUAGGAGGGCUUGGUUUCCGCGCCCUGUUUCCAUUACUGUCCUCUCGCCAAGCAGUACGCAGUUGGCUGGCAUUUUCCCGAAACCAUUUCGAGCAGUGCCUUCAAAGACGCGACGUCACAUGUGCCAAAGUGUGACUCUGGUCUGAGUGAGUUCCCGUCAGCCUGACGCAUGGGGGGAAUGCUCAAUUGAUUCCUGAUGCAGUUACACGCAUCACAACACAAAGAUGUCACCCACCAGAAUGAGCGCGUUGAGUCACUGCAUUUCCCCAGGCUGCAGAAGUGCAGGAAUCAUAAUCAUUUCCCAGCACAGACCUAUGAGGGUGCUGGCUCCAGCACUUGCAUGCUCCGCUCACCCUCUGGAUGGCUUUUCCAAGCAGUCAGCAUCAACACAAGGGCACAGGCAUGCCUGUCUUUCCCUCCGUCUCUCUCAGCCUAUCAUAGCUGUGAAAGGAAAAUAUGUAGAUGCAGGUGUUUUCUGCCCUUCAGCUGGGAGCACUUUUCAGCCAACUCCAGUCCUACUUUGUGCCUCAGUCACCUUUUGACUGUGAUACUGGAGAGAAAAGGAGGAAGGAAAAAAAAAAAAAGGAGAGAGUGAGAGAUACUGAUUUUUGCUGCCUCAGCAGAUGUGUGUUAAAGUGUUUUAGUGAUUCAGCCAGUGCGCCUGCCUGGGGCCAAAGGAGAGGCAUUGUCUGAAUCUAAAACAAUUAAUAACAAAAAAAGAAUGUGGGCAGCACGGAGCGGGGGAAGGUGGAGGUGGAAAGCAAGCAAAUCACAGGGAUAUUCUCAGCUUGCUGAGCACUUCAGUAAGAUCGCCACCCAUUUCCAACAGCGGCGGUGUGGAUGCAGCCAAGACCCUCUGUGACACGGGAGCCUCACCAACCCCGUUGUACAGACGGAGGAACUAAAGCUGCUUUUGCAAUUCCUCCUGGGCCCUCCAGAGCCUCUGGACGAGGGCCACGCUCCUCCCCAGAGCCGAGCUGUGCUUCCCUGACAUCCCAAGCACACUGGGAGGAGGGGAGAUGCUCAGCCAUGCUAAGGGACCCGCUCAGGCCCUGCAGGCUCCUGUUUGCUGCGCAGCCCGUGAAGGCCGCAAAGGCACAAAAGG
ensembl:lncRNA